GCCACCGUAGCUCAGUGGUAGAGCACACCCUUGGUAAGGGUGAGGUCACGGGUUCAAAUCCCGUUGGUGGCU
rnacentral:tRNA from 1 species